rnacentral:rRNA from 1 species
AUACGUAGGGGGCAAGCGUUAUCCGGAUUUACUGGGUGUAAAGGGAGCGUAGACGGCACUGCAAGUCUGGAGUGAAAGCCCGGGGCUCAACCCCGGGACUGCUUUGGAAACUGUGGUGCUAGAGUGCAGGAGAGGUAAGUGGAAUUCCUAGUGUAGCGGUGAAAUGCGUAGAUAUUAGGAGGAACACCAGUGGCGAAGGCGACUUACUGGACUGUAACUGACGCUGAGGCACGAAAGCGUGGGGAGCGAACAGGAUUAGAUACCCUGGUAGUCCACGCCGUAAACGAUGAGUGCUAGGUGUUGGGGAGCAAAAGCUCCUCGGUGCCGUCGCAAACGCAUUAAGUAUUCCACCUGGGGAGUACGUUCGCAAGAAUGAA